UGUUGAGCCUUUUAUUUCUUAUCACCAGAUAUGUCUACCCUUAUACCUGAAACAUUUUUCCUUACCAUUCCAAGCGAGCAAUGCGAGAUUGUCUUAUGAGAAACGUUUGUGAAGUACUUUGAAGGUGUUUGGCAAAAGAAUAAGUGUGGGGGUAUUUCAUGUUUGUAUUUAAAAAAAAAAAAAGGAGAAAAGAAAAAGAAAAAGAAAGAUUGUAUACAAAGAAAAUAAAAAGUUUUUAAAGUUUCAGUUUAAGGGUGUGGUUGGAGGUGCUAGAAGAAUUGCUAGAGAGCUUGAGUUCUUAUAAAUCUAAAGAAAAGAAUUGCUUGCAAUGUAGCUUGGAACUUGUGUUUUCCUAUUCUUUCGUUUCAAUAACCCUAUCCCUAAACCUCAUUACAUCCAAUAAAAGUCCUCUUGAUUUAAGUUUUGCAAUUAUGACUGUGGAGAAGUGAUCUUUAUGCAAGCUUAUGGUAGAACUUUCACAUUUGAUUCUUUGAGCGAAACACAUUUAAACUAAACACAUGUGUGAUUGAGUGUAUAUCCCGUGAGAAGGUUGCUAGUUUGCAUAUGAUGAUUUUAAAAAUAUAAAAAAAUUUUGCAUUAGCAUGGCUAUCUCACACACUACACUUCAAGGAUGAUUCAAAGAUUACUGCUAAUAUUUGAAUAAGGAAGAUGAACUUGGAUUAGCUUGUUUGGUGCCAGCUAUGGUUCUUGUUGAUUUGUGUUCUCAAAUGAAAUUCUAUGAGGGUCACAUAGGGGGAAGCUAAUGUUUUUCUUGUUACUUCUUGUUCUUGUUUUCUUUGUUUUGCUCGAGGACUAGCAAAAGCUAAGUGUGGGGGAAAUUGAUAGGAGCAUAGUUAUACGACUUAGUUAGCUUGUUUUCUUGCUUUUAAUUAGCUAAACUAUGAUAAUUAUAGUGCUUAAAGUUAUUUUCGUGCAAUUUCAGGUUUUAGUGUCAAAGUAUGC
rnacentral:lncRNA from 1 species